AUGUUCAUACUUGAAUACAGGCUAAAGAGCAGUACUGGAGAGCUUUCACCACUUAAUCAAAUGCCGUGACACCUAACGUACACAGACAAGUUCAGACAGACUUAGUAUUGUUCUGCUCAGACUCUGAGCUGGUCAGAACGAGAAACUGCUUAGCCAUGCUGGUCUGGUACUGUGCCAAAGCUAACAAGCUGUGGGCUUACCAGGAAUUUUCUGCUCCAGGACACACAGUGACCCAACUCCAAAGCAGAGAUGGUGGAUGUUUCUUUCCAAGAUACUACAGGGGUGAAUGUGAAUCUGCUUCUGCUGAUUUGUCUAUCUCUUCCACUGUGAAUCCCGAUAAAGAAGUGAUCCAGACAUUGGAAUCUGGUCUGUCACAGUAAACCAACUUGUUCUUUGAAGUCUAAUGCUUCCAUGGGAACAUAUGAGAGAGGAAACAGAAGCAUCUCAAAAAGCACAGAUUUCUGUUGAUGGAAUAUCUCUCCAGCACAUGGAUAAAAUACAAAAUAAUUUCCCCUCAUUAUUUGUAUAUAUUGCUAUCAUCAUGUAAUAACUAUUUUUUCUGCUUCCUAUGUAGGUCAAAUUUUCUUCAA